rnacentral:misc_RNA from 1 species
AACGCACGAGACCUGCGGACCUGCGGAAGGAUCAUUACCGAGUUUACAACUCCCAAACCCCUGUGAACAUACCACUCGUUGCCUCGGCGGAUCACCGCGCCCCGUGAAACGGGCCGGCCCGCCAGAGGACCUAAACUCAAAUGUUUUAUUGUAUCUUCUGAGUAAAAACACAAAUAAAUCAAAACUUUUAGCAAUGGAUCUCU